rnacentral:tRNA from 3 species
GGAAAGGUGCAGGAGUGGUUGAUCUGGCUCGCCUGGAAAGCGUGUAUACCGCAAGGUAUCAAGGGUUCGAAUCCCUUCCUUUCCG